AGGAGCCGUGUAACGGGAAACUGUUACGCACGGUUUUGAAGACCAACGGGAUUGGUGACCAUCUCGUUGAGUUUAAU
rfam:Calothrix sp. PCC 7507, complete genome.